GCUCCCUGAUGUUAGCGGCGGACGGGUGAGUAACACGUGGGUAACCUGCCUGUAAGACUGGGAUAACUCCGGGAAACCGGGGCUAAUACCGGAUGGUUGUUUGAACCGCAUGGUUCAAACAUAAAAGGUGGCUUCGGCUACCACUUACAGAUGGACCCGCGGCGCAUUAGCUAGUUGGUGAGGUAACGGCUCACCAAGGCAACGAUGCGUAGCCGACCUGAGAGGGUGAUCGGCCACACUGGGACUGAGACACGGCCCAGACUCCUACGGGAGGCAGCAGUAGGGAAUCUUCCGCAAUGGACGAAAGUCUGACGGAGCAACGCCGCGUGAGUGAUGAAGGUUUUCGGAUCGUAAAGCUCUGUUGUUAGGGAAGAACAAGUACCGUUCGAAUAGGGCGGUACCUUGACGGUACCUAACCAGAAAGCCACGGCUAACUACGUGCCAGCAGCCGCGGUAAUACGUAGGUGGCAAGCGUUGUCCGGAAUUAUUGGGCGUAAAGGGCUCGCAGGCGGUUUCUUAAGUCUGAUGUGAAAGCCCCCGGCUCAACCGGGGAGGGUCAUUGGAAACUGGGGAACUUGAGUGCAGAAGAGGAGAGUGGAAUUCCACGUGUAGCGGUGAAA
rnacentral:rRNA from 1 species